UGCGUAGGCGGCCGGGUAAGUCACGUGUGAAAGGCCGGGGCUCAACCCCGGAUCGGCAUGUGGGACUGCCUGGCUCGAGCACGGUAGAGGCGAGUGGAAUUCCUGGUGUAGCGGUGGAAUGCGUAGAGAUCAGGAAGAACACCGGUGGCGAAGGCGGCUCGCUGGGCCGUUGCUGACGCUGAGGCACGAAAGCGUGGGAGCAAACAGGAUUAGAUACCCUGGUAGUCCACGCUGUAAACGAUGGACACUAGGCGUCGGGGGGAGCGACCCUCCCGGUGCCGUCGCUAACGCAAUAAGUGUCCCGCCUGGGGAGUACGGCCGCAAGGCUGAA
rnacentral:rRNA from 1 species